UUUUGUUUGUCAGAAGCAAGCAGCCAGGGAAUGGGUGAACUUUUACCUGGACCUCACAAGAGGAGAAAGCUCUCUUUUCAAAAUCUGAUAACUCUGCAGAAGAAAACAGAGAUAUUUUCUUUCUUUAUAGGUUGACCUAUGGACCCUGCCAAAAAAAAUUUUCCAUGUGAACUUGAGUUUGCAAGGCCCUUUUUUCAGUCCUGAAAACUCUGCGUUCUGAAAAAGGACAUCUGUGAUAAGAUGGAACUUGGCACCAGUAACUCAUGUUCUAUGCGUGAAGCAUGCUCAGAAGAGGCAGACCCAGAGGUAAUCCUGAAUCUUGUAAAUGGCUCCAGGUGUUUCUGAAGAACUGCAUGUGAUUUGUCAGGAAGCUCCUGGUUCUCAGUCGUUUUGCCACGAAUGAAGCCCAACAUUUCUGAGUCAGUUACUCAGGAGUUAUCACCGGAGCCUAGUGAAGAAAGGAAAAGCUUUUAUGGAACUUUAUCACAGGAUAUAACUAGUCAAGGACACAGAAAGUGCUGCGGAGGCCACCAACAGAUGACAGGAGUGUGAGAACCUAUGCUCUAGAAGAGGAUUAUGUUCCUUUUGCUUUUAAUAAUGGUCACGUCCUGAACCAGUGAUUGAGCACCUGGUGAAGGGGUGUAUCCAGCCCUGGGAGCGCAGGUGGAAGCAAUCUACACCAUUUAAGGGAUGGCAGCCACAAGAGAAGCUUUUCCACUUGGAGAGAACCUCGUUUGGAGUGUUUGGUGAGCCCUGAUCCCUGGAAAAAGUUUUAUUUUUAGAGGCAAUCAAAACUCUUCUGAGAAAUCCUUCACACUCAAGAAAUGUGGCCAGAACUGCAAGCUAACUCAAGUUCCCUAUAGGUAACAGGGAUUUCUCUGCUGAUGACACCUCAACACAUAACAUUUCUGGAUCUCUUUUCUGGCCAGAAGUAACACCAGACUGAGACAGCAGCUGGGAAAAAAAGCUCUGAGGUUUGGCUCACAGGAACGCAUAGGGACUGUAAACUUUUAGUGAAGGCUUCUGUGGAUUUACUCAUAAGUGUUGUCGGCCUGGAGUUUUGUGGCUCUACAAGACAGAUCUACAGCUUUGGGAUUGCUUUAUAGGCUGAGUUUUCCAUUCUGGCCUACGGCUAUAUGUGACAAGGAGCUACAAACCUGAUGCGAGAGAUCUGAAUAAACAGCAGGCCUUUCUUUUGAUUAAUUUGUGCUAGAAAUAUAGUGAAAUUAAUUGUAUUUUCUUCCCCUGCCUGUAUGGAAUUUCCCCUUACUGUCACUGGCUGCUAUUAGGAAGUGCACAUUCAUGCAAUAAUUUACAACCAACAACAAAACAAGAAGAGACUUAGGAAAAAGUACAAGCAUGUUUUAACCCCUUUUUUCUUUCUUUUCUUUUUCCCUUGAGAUUUAGUCGUUCUCUCUAACCUGUGCUUAAUUUAGAACCGUUCUUAACUUUAUGUAAACCAAUUCACUCACUUGUCCUCGGUCUCCCCAUCAUUAAAAUAGUGGUGAUAAAUCUGAUGUAUGAGGUGCAGUGAUACACUGAAUAAAGCUAUACUGCUUCUCACUGAGCAGAAUCGUCAACAUAAAAGCAGGAAGGAGACAAAUUACUUUUUAAGGUCUUGCUUACCUCAGAAUGAAUGAGAAGAAAUGGGGGUAUACACACCCAGCUCAUUAUUGGCCUGCGAGUAUGUGGCAGCAUCAGAUGUAGGCACAGGGAUGCAGCAAAAUAAACAAUAGCAGAAUUUGCAAGGUCUUGGGCUCGAGCAGUCCACUUGGCUGAAUCAACUGUGUCUGUAGGUGGAGAGUAGUACCAUUAUAUCACUUGGACUUUUAUUAUAUUCCAUAUUUCCCAUGACUGGUAAGCUCACCCUUUCCCUAUGGGUUAAUGAUGCUGUAAACAAGAAUAGCAGAGGAGCAGCCAACAAAGCAAAAGAGUAAAUGCUGGUCUGAGUGAACUGCUCUUGAGAAGGCUGAGUUAAAUCAAAGACCCACCGCAGUGUGCUUUGAAGGGGUUUUACAUACAGAAGUCAUAGAGACAAUUCACAGGAGUGAAGAGAGGAAUUUUCGUGAGUGCAGGCCAAGCACAGAACCCUGCCAUCUCCUUCUGAUGUGUGACCACAGGCAAAAUAGUCAAGGCCUGACAGACAACUGGGCCAUUCUGAUCUUUAUGAUGUCAGGUUCAUAACAACACUAUGGGACUUUCCAAAGGCAUUAAGGACUUAGUAAGACACAGAUGGCAAGAUGGGGGCUUUCUUGACCUCUCUUUGUCAGCAUUUUGUGUGGGUGUGAAAAGUUGUAUGACCCUUAGCUUAACUCUCACAGUCUGGCUGUAACCCAUUUUUUGCGUGGCUCUGACCUGUGAUGGUGUGCUAACCUCAUAGUCACAGUGAGCAGAAUGAAUACCUGAACCUAGAAGCCUAUUCAAGUAUAUGCAGCCUUCUAUACUCUGUGGACAGGUCUGCAGAUCUCACAGAUGGCAGUGUUUAUCGCUCUGCCUUUGGCACCUGAAAAAGCAGCACAGCAGGUACCGUCAGGGUUCACCCAUAAACUGAUGGCUUUACUAUGUAUUUUAAAAAGCAACCAUAUUUUUAAUGUAUCGAAGGUCCAUUAAUAGCAACAUACUUUAUGAAACCAUUUCCACCAUAACAUUUGUGUUUUCUGUUUCAUGGAAAGC